rnacentral:rRNA from 1 species
CCUACGGGUGGCAGCAGUGAGGAAUAUUGGUCAAUGGACGCGAGCCUGAACCAGCCAAGUAGCGUGAAGGAUGACUGCCCUACGGGUUGUAAACUUCUUUUAUAUGGGAAUAAAAUACGGCACGUGUACCUUUUUGUAUGUACUUUAUGAAUAAGGAUCGGCUAACUCCGUGCCAGCAGCCGCGGUAAUACGGAGGAUCCGAGCGUUAUCCGGAUUUAUUGGGUUUAAAGGGAGCGUAGAUGGGUUGUUAAGUCAGUUGUGAAAGUUUGCGGCUCAACCGUAAAAUUGCAAUUGAUACUGGCAGUCUUGAGUACAGUAGAGGUAGGCGGAAUUCGUGGUGUAGCGGUGAAAUGCUUAGAUAUCACGAAGAACUCCGAUUGCGAAGGCAGCUCACUAAACUGCAACUGACACUGAUGCUCGAAAGUGUGGGUAUCAAACAGGAUUAGAUACCCUUGUAGUC